AGAUCAACCGCAGAGUACUGAAGAAGAAUCCUCUUAAGAACUUGAGGAUAAUGCUCAAACUGAACCCAUAUGCCAAAACAGCAAGACGUCAUGCCAUCCUCAAGCAUGACCCGGCGAUCAAGGCUAAGAUGCUGAAACCCAAGAAGAAGCCCGGAAAGAAGGGAGCACCAGCCAAACCCAAGGCAUAAAUUUAUACAUAAAGACUGGAGUUCAGUGAUAAUAAUAAAAACAUUGGUUUCAAA